AGCCCCCUGUAUUCGUACUGAGAUUUCGUCAGAGAUCAUCCCAUUGGGGUUGAUGGUACUUCCCAGAUAAGUGAAGCG
rnacentral:pre_miRNA from 1 species